rnacentral:rRNA from 1 species
UACGUAGGGGGCAAGCGUUGUCCGGAAUUAUUGGGCGUAAAGAGCGCGUAGGCGGUCCGGUAAGUCGGCUGUGAAAGUCAAGGGCUCAACCCUUGAAAGCCGGCCGAUACUGUCGGACUAGAGUCCGGAAGAGGCGAGUGGAAUUCCCGGUGUAGCGGUGAAAUGCGCAGAUAUCGGGAGGAACACCAAUGGCGAAGGCAGGUCUCUGGGCCACUACUGACGCUGAGAAGCGAAAGCAUGGGGAGCGAACAGG